AGUGAACGCUGGCGGUAGGCCUAACACAUGCAAGUCGAACGGCAGCACAGUAAGAGCUUGCUCUUACGGGUGGCGAGUGGCGGACGGGUGAGGAAUACAUCGGAAUCUACUUUUUCGUGGGGGAUAACGUAGGGAAACUUACGCUAAUACCGCAUACGACCUACGGGUGAAAGCAGGGGAUCUUCGGACCUUGCGCGAUUGAAUGAGCCGAUGUCGGAUUAGCUAGUUGGCGGGGUAAAGGCCCACCAAGGCGACGAUCCGUAGCUGGUCUGAGUGGAUGAUCAGCCACACUGUAACGGAGACACGGUCCAGACUCCUACGGGAGGCAGCAGUGGGGAAUAUUGGACAAUGGACGCAAGCAUGAUCCAGCCAUACCGAGUGGGUGAAGAAGGCCUUAGGGUUGUAAAGCCAUUUUGUUGGGAAAGAAAAGCAGCAGGUUAAUACCCCGCUGUUCUGACGGUACCCAAAGAAUAAGCACCGGCUAACUUCGUG
rnacentral:rRNA from 1 species